rnacentral:rRNA from 1 species
AUUGAACGCUGGCGGCAGGCCUAACACAUGCAAGUCGAGCGGAGAGGCGGACGGGUGAGUAAUGCCUAGGAAUCUGCAUGGUAGUGGGGGAUAACGUCCGGAAAUGGGCGCUAAUACCGCAUACUCUCAGCUGAGCCUAGGUCGGAUUAGCUAGAUGGUGGGGUAAAGGCCUACCAAGGCGACGAUCCGUACCUGGCCUGAGAGGAUGAUCAGCCACACUGGAACUGAGACACGGUCCAGACUCCUACGGGAGGCAGCAGUGGGGAAUAUUGGACAAUGGGCGAAAUCCUGAUGCAGCCAUGCCGCGUGUGUGAAGAAGGUCUUCGGAUUGUAAAGCACUUUAAGUGGGGAGGCGGUACCAACAGAAUAAGCACCGGCUAACUUCGUGCCAGCAGCCGCGGUAAUUC